rnacentral:rRNA from 1 species
CGUGGAGACAGGUGGUGCACGGUUGUCGUCAGCUCGUGUCGUGAGAUGUUGGGUUAAGUCCCGCAACGAGCGCAACCCUUACUUUUAGUUGCCAGCGAGUAAUGUCGGGCACUCUAAAGGAACUGCCGGUGACAAACCGGAGGAAGGUGGGGAUGACGUCAAAUCAUCAUGCCCCUUAUGUCCUGGGCUACACACGUGCUACAAUGGACGGUACAGACGGAAGCGAGACCGCGAGGUGGAGCAAAUCCGAGAAAGCCGUUCACAGUUCGGAUUGCAGGCUGCAACUCGCCUCCGUGAAGUUGGAAUCGCUAGUAAUCGUGGAUCAGCAUGCCACGGUGAAUACGUUCCCGGGCCUUGUACACACCGCCCGUCACACCACGAAAGUCUGCUGUACUCGAAGUCGCUGAG